ACGAGUGUUGAUAUAACUACAUAUCAACACGGAAAAAAUGUUUUAUAUUUGUUUUAUAAUAUAGCACAAAGAAAUAUAAAGAAAGAAUUUUCCGACGUUUCCGUGUUGACAUCGAGUUUUAUCAACACGGCUCUUAGCCAAUCAGCGUUCAGAAUUUACAAAUACUAUAUUAUAAAAAACAUUUAUAAUCAUCCAAACAACUAUCCAAAGAAUUUUUGCCAUGAUUGAAAGCUUAUGUGUACAAGCGCAAUCUCGGGCAAUCGUUGAAACUUAUGAUCUACAUUUAACGACUAAAGGGAGCCACUGAGGUUAUAAUUGGCUACUCAGAGAACCGCUAAUUACCAGAAAUUAAGCAGUAAAUAGUUUUCACUUUUAAAAAAAUCUCAAAAGAUUUCAACACAAAUACUUUCUGUUUCGGAAAUAUUGGUAAUAUUUCUGUUUCAGCGCUGUCAAUUCACAAAAACUUCUGGUCCCGUGGCUGACACCUUGUUUUGUGUAAAAUUGGCUUGUGUAAUUUAAGACAAACACGCUAUUAUUAUUUUAUUUUAUUAACUUCGCCACUUGAAUUACAAUAUACAUACAAUAUACGGCAUUACAACACAAUAAAUUACAUUAGCUAGGCAAACGAAAAUAGUCGUGGCAGGGUAGUCGCAACAGCUAAAUGCCUAUUACUGCGGACCCUAUUAUUAAGAUAUAUACUGUUCAUAAUUUGCUGUAUAUUUUAUAUACAGUAUACAUAAACAUGUUGGAUAUACUUUUAUGACUAUAAUUUGACGUAAAGUUUCCUCUUAAUUUUACAAAACCCAUCUAUACUAUUAGUUCUAUCGAACAACAUGCCCCAAAAUCUAAAAAUCUAUUGUCUAUUUAUGCGAAAGGAAGUAAGUGUGAUAUAGUGAGUUUAAUAUAUGUCUGGAGUAAGGCUCGCGUCCAAAAAAUGGAGCCAAAGAUGGCGGAUAUUGACGUCUAGUGCCAGUCCUUUUCUAUUGUUUUUGUCUGCGCGGUUACACGAGGUCACAACGGAGAAAUGAAUGUAACUUGAACUAUAGCCUAUCGAAGGGAAGAUGGCUGUGAAACUUAUUAGAAUAACAAUGCAAUUAAUUAUCUAUGUUAGUCAACGUUUAUUCAUAAAUCCGGUCCUUCACCGUCACUUGUAUAUUGUAUUUUUGCCCAACUAACCAAUAGCAAUGUUUUAGGAAAGUUACCUAUCCGUGACUCGACCAAUAGGGAAAAUUGGAAAUUGCAAUUGGUGGAUUUGGCGAAAUACAAUACGCACGUGACGGUGCAGGACCAGAUUUAUGAAUAAACGUUGACCAACAUAGAUAAUGAGUUAUAUUGUUAUUCUAAUGAGUUUCACAGCCAUCUUCCCUUUGAUAUAUUUUUCUUGAAGCCAAAUUUGACCCCCCAGACUCGCGUAUCUCGGGAUCAAGACCCGCGUGUUUAUGCCUCGCGAGACCAGUUCAAGGACCGAACAUGCCGUUUUAAUAAGAAAAAAACUAAAAGUAAAGUCUGACAGGAAGUUUUAGCUGAAUAAAUGCAUUAAUAGAAAGUUUUCAUCGCUGCUAAAAAGCUUUUUUGUAAUUUUCAAGCCGGUUUCCACGAACACAUAUUCAUGUUGCUGGAUUGACCGUGCUCUUCGCAUUCGUGGAAAGACUGGGACUGACCUUCAAGUUUGGCUUCAAAUUUCCGGUUGGAGGUAGCAUUCCAGUUGCAUUCAUUUCACUGGGUAGAUGUUGUUUUGACCUCGAUUUAAAGACUAGUAUUAUGAUUUUAUGAACUGAUAACUAAAAUCCUGGACAAAACAUCUGCGACACUUCCAAUUAUUUAACAAAAUGACGUAAUAUUAUCGCAAAUUUAGAAAACCUCCCCCUUACCCCCACCAUUCAAUGUUGAUUGCAUUCGCAGAAUACGGUUAAAACGUCCAACAUUGUUUUUUUUUUGGGGGGGGGCGGAGGGGGGCAAACGAGUAAAUUAUUCCGGUCUAAUGGUAAAAAAAGCCACAAAGGAAUGUUUUAAUAGAGUGUCGCAGAUGGUUUUGCCCAGGAUUGUAGAUUACCAAUAUGGUCCGUCAGAAAAAAGCUCGAAAAUAUUUUUAACUUUAAAAUGGUUAAAACUCUUUUUAACCCAUAUAUGUACAGAGCUUACUGGUGCAUGACACACAAGGGUGUUACAAUUACAAAAAGCAUCAUAAGCAAGUUCCUGUAUGUGAGUAUGUUUCCAGUAGAUCUAUAAGGCUCUACAUCCCUGCGUGUAUGAGCCUUAAAAGAUGUAAACGAUACAUCGCAGUGGUUUUUUCCAGGAACGACAGUAACAUUUUGUUUAUUGGAAAUUGCGUUAUCAGAAUUCACCCAGAGAACGUAGUUUCCCGGAAUGACGUUGUGCGUGUAGAAACCAAUACUGUUUGGGUAGGCUAAAAACAAAGUAAGUAUAAGGUGUUAAAAGACGAACCUCGUACCCAGGGCUAGCCGCGAGUUAAAAGACGCCAUGCAAAAUUAUAUAAUGGGCCAAUUACGUAGCAAGGUCAUCGUUUGCUAAUUUCUCGUACAAUUUUCAUCCAAAUUUAACAAAAUAUUUACUCAAUUUGUCCUUCGGCAUAGACCAAUGUUCAUUAUAAUAACUUUAGCGAACAUUGCGGCGUAUUUUGCGCGCUAAAAUGAACAAAUUAGUGG